rnacentral:rRNA from 1 species
GCCUUUAGUUGCCAGCAGUUCGGCUGGGCACUCUAAAGGGACUGCCGGUGUUAAACCGGAGGAAGGUGGGGAUGACGUCAAGUCCUCAUGGCCUUUAUGACCAGGGCUACACACGUACUACAAUGGCCGAUACAAAGGGCAGCGACACUGCGAGGUGAAGCCAAUCCCGUAAAAUCGGUCUCAGUCCGGAUUGGAGUCUGCAACUCGACUCCAUGAAGUUGGAAUCGCUAGUAAUCGUGGAUCAGCCAAGCCGCGGUGAAUACGUUCCCGGGCCUU